UACGGAGGGGGCGAGCGUUGUCCGAAGUUACUGGGCGUAAAGCGCGCGUAGGCGGGUCCCUAAGUCCGCCGUGAAAGCCCGGGGCUCAACCCCGGAGGGUCGGUGGAGACUGGGGGCCUUGAAGGUGCUAGGGGGGAGUGGAAUUGCCGGUGUAGCGGUGAAAUGCGUAGAUAUCGGCAGGAACACCGGUGGCGAAGGCGGCUCCCUGGGGCACCCUUGACGCUGAGGCGCGAAAGCCGGGGGAGCGAACGGG
rnacentral:rRNA from 1 species